CAGCUCUCAGUGCUCUGCUCUUUCAACACUAGCCUCAUUAGAACUAAAUACAAUGAGUCAAGCAACUUUAAUUACCAAAACAACACAGAGAACAAUACAAACUUUUGACUAAACCAACUGCUGUCCUAAAAGUCUAUAAAGAGCCUCGGAUCUGCUUCAAUGCAUUUUGAGAAGAAGGCAAAGAGAGAGAGGAUGCAAGAAAUCAAAUACAAUUGAUUUUCCCCUCUGUGUUUUCACCACUCAUCCUCCUGAUACUAGUGACAGAUGCUGAAUGUGCAACGUGAGGCAGACUGUGGUGCAGAUACAGAUCCAGGCUGCUUAGGAAUGGAGCCAUUGUCAGUCUGUUUCAGGAGGACAGCCUACAGAGGGGAUUCAGGUGUACACAACGUUACCCUUCAAGUGCCAGAUAUGAAAUGACCUUACCCUAUAGCUGCUACAGUGUCUGGCUUCUGAAACCUGCCAUCCAAAAGUAGAAACCCAAGACAUCUGAGCUGCAAGGCACCUUCCAUCUCUAAAACAAACUCCAGCUGUGUUAAAACUAAGGCGGGUCUUUGUUUGUUCUUCUUCAUGCAUUCCGGUUUCAGCUCCACUGGGAGCUGGCAGACUGGGAGAGGUAUGAGAGGUGGCUAUGGACAAUGACAGCAUUCUGGGCACAGUCCUCCCAUCUCAGCGUGCAUUCAGCACAGCAACUGUUUAGCACAUCUCAGCAUUAGCCUAGGUCAUGAUGGUUCCUUUGCUUGAAUUCACAUCACUAGUACAGAAUUUCUUUUUUGAAUGUCAGAACAUGUGGUUUUAAGGGUAGAGAGUGCAAUCUUAGAGAGAAUGUGAAUAUGUAUGUCAGCUUGACGUGUGAACUGAUGCUUGGAGCUACAUAUCGAGGCUUGUAAGUGUGUUUUUUUUAUUUAGAUGCGGGAGGAUAUAUAUUUUAAAAAAUCCAAAUCAUUUCAAUCAUUUAAGUGAUAUAUUGUAUGGGAUGUCAAAAGCAGUUAUUUCUAGCACCUUGUACCAGACGGAUGUGCCACUUCCCCUAUCACCCAUUUGACUGUCCUAUGUCAGAUAGUGAUGCCAUAAAACAUAUCAGAUACACUUUUCUCAUGUAAUAGUCAAUUCCAUCGCAGCGUAUGCAAAGCCUACAGUUUGCUGAUUGAUAUAUGCAAUACAAUGGUUUAAAUCACAGAGAUAGCAAAAUGCUUUCAAUGAUGUGCCAUGGAGCCAAACAUAUCACCCUUCCAUCCCCUCCGUCCCAACCCAGAAUCUACUCUCUCUCUCUCUCUCUCUCUAUAAUGUGCUCCAGCCUCCCAGAGGAUGGAGUGGCACCAGUCCCAUUUCUCCUGUCUGGCUCCAGGGUGUUAUGCUGGGUAAAAAGAGAACCAGCUGUGUUGCAGGAUACCUCUGGAUAAAGACACAGUCCAAAAUGGAAAUAUUGUUAUUUAUCUACAACACACAUAUAAAUCUCCAUAGUGCUUUGGUAUGAGUAGCAGUGCCAGAAAACGUCAGAAUAGAAGACGGACAAAGAUAGUUUUACACAAUGAGGUCUGUGCUCUCUACCACACGAGGCACAUUAUCGAGAUGGGCAAAACAAAUGAGAAAGCUGCUACUUAACUCAGUUGAUAUACUGUACUAGGAGAGGUUUUGUUUACAGCUAGGAGAGGGUUUGUUUACAGUUAGGAGAGGGUUUGUUUGCAGCUAGGAGAGGGUUUGUUUGCAGCUAGGAGAGGGUUUGUUUGCAGCUAGGAGAGGGUUUGUUUGCAUCUAGGAGAGGGUUUGUUUACAGCUAGGAGAGGGUUUGUUUACAGCUAGGAGAGGGUUUGUUUACAGCUAGGAGAGGGUUUGUUUGCAGCUAGGAGAGGGUUUGUUUACAGCUAGGAGAGGGUUUGUUUGCAGCUAGGAGAGGGUUUGUUUACAGCUAGGAGAGGGUUUGUUUGCAGCUAGGAGAGGGUUUGUUUACAGCUAGGAGAGGGUUUGUUUACAGCUAGGAGAGGGAUUGUUUGCAGCUAGGAGAGGGUUUGUUUGCAGCUAGGAGAGGGUUUGUUUGCAGCUAGGAGAGGGUUUGUUUGCAGCUAGGAGAGGGUUUGUUUGAAGCUAAGAGAGGGUUUGUUUGCAGCUAGGAGAGGGUUUGUUUGCAGCUAGGAGAGGGUUUGUUUGCAGCUAGGAGAGGGUUUGUUUGCAGCUAGGAGAGGGUUUGUUUACAGCUAGGAGAUGGAUUGUUUACAGCUAGGAGAGGGUUUGUUUACAGCUAGGAGAGGGUUUGUUUGCAGCUAGGAAAGGGUUUGUUUGCAGCUAGGAGAGGAUUUGUUUGCAGUUAGGAGAGGGUUUGUUUGCAGUUAGGAGAGGGUUUGUUUGCAGCUAGGAGAGGGUUUGUUUGCAGCUAGGAGAGGGUGUGUUUGCAGCUAGGAGAGGGUUUGUUUACAGCUAGGAGAGGGUUUGUUUGCAGCUAGGAGAGGGUUUGUUUACAGCUAGGAGAGGGUUUGUUUGCAGCUAGGAGAGGGUUUGUUUACAGCUAGGAGAGGGUUUGUUUACAGCUAGGAGAGAGUUUGUUUACAGCUAGGAGACAGUUUGUUUACAGCUAGGAGACAGUUUGUUUACAGCUAGGAGAGGGUUUGUUUGCAGCUAGGAGAGGGUUUGUUUGCAGCUAGGAGAGGGUUUGUUUGCAGUUAGGAGAGGGUUUGUUUGCAGUUAGGAGAGGGUUUGUUUGCAGCUAGGAGAGGGUUUGUUUGCAGCUAGGAGAGAGUUUGUUUACAGCUAGGAGAGGGUUUGUUUACAGCUAGGAGAGGGUUUGUUUACAGCUAGGAGAGGGUUUGUUUACAGCUUGGAGAGGGUUUGUUUACAGCUAGGAGAGGGUUUGUUUACAGCUAGGAGAGGGUUUGUUUGCAGCUAGGAGAGGGUUUGUUUACAGCUAGGAGAGGGUUUGUUUACAGCUAGGAGAGGGUUUGUUUGCAGCUAGGAGAGGGUUUGUUUGCAGCUAGGAGAGAGUUUGUUUGCAGUUAGGAGAGGGUUUGUUUGCAGCUAGGGAGAGUUUGUUUACAGCUAGGAGAGGAUUUGUUUACAGCUAGGAGAGGGUUUGUUUACAGCUAGGAGAGGGUUUGUUUACAGCUAGGAGAGGGUUUGUUUGCAGCUAGGAGACAGUUUGUUUACAGCUAGGAGAGGGUUUGUUUGCAGUUAGGAGAGGGUUUGUUUGCAUCUAGGAGAGGGUUUGUUUACAGCUAGGAGAGGGUUUGUUUACAGCUAGGAGAGGUUUUGUUUACAGCUAGGAGAGGGUUUGUUUGCAGCUAGGAGAGGGUUUGUUUACAGCUAGGAGAGGGUUUGUUUGCAGCUAGGAGAGGGUUUGUUUGCAGCUAGGAGAGGGUUUGUUUGCAGCUAGGAGAGGGUUUGUUUACAGCUAGGAGAGGGUUUGUUUACAGCUAGGAGAGGAUUUGUUUGCAGCUAGGAGAGGGUUUGUUUGCAGCUAGGAGAGGGUUUGUUUGAAGCUAAGAGAGGGUUUGUUUGCAGCUAGGAGAGGGUUUGUUUGCAGCUAG